rnacentral:rRNA from 1 species
GACGUAGGGGGCGAGCGUUGUCCGGAAUUACUGGGCGUAAAGAGCACGUAGGCGGGAACCUAAGUCAGGUGUGAAAGACCGUGGCUCAGCCACGGGGUGGCAUUUGAAACUGGGUUUCUUGAGGGCAGGAGAGGAAAGCAGAAUUCCUGGUGUAGCGGUGAAAUGCGUAGAAAUCAGGAGGAAUACCAGUGGCGAAGGCGGCUUUCUGGACUGACCCUGACGCUGAGGUGCGAAAGCGUGGGUAGCAAACAGGAUUAGAUACCCUGGUAGUCCCUGA